UUCACAACUUGAAGUCCUGACACAUCCAUCUUUAGGAUGUUUUGUCUCGCACUGUGGAUGGAAUUCGACUCUAGAAAGCCUAUCGUCAGGUGUACCUGUGGUGGCAUUUCCUCAUUGGACAGAUCAAGGGACUAAUGCAAAGUUGAUUGAAGAUGUUUGGAAGACAGGUGUCAGGAUGAGAGUGAAUGAAGAUGGUGUGGUUGAGAGUGAUGAAAUAAAAAGGUGCAUAGAAAUUGUAAUGGAUGGUGGAGAAAAAGGAGAAGAAAUGAGAAAAAAUGCACAAAAAUGGAAAGAAUUGGCAAGAGCAGC
rnacentral:lncRNA from 1 species